GUGGGCUCACAAUUACUUCGUUCUCAAGAGAUGAUUCCUUACGAAGCUUCAGGACAAUUUUACAUAUUCAAUUUCUAUUCUUACUUCAGAAAAAAUACUCUUUUCUUGUUCUGGUGAAGGAGAAAUCUAUCGCGUGGGACAAUGAGGGGGAAAAAACAAUGCAUGUGAUGCUGGCUGAAGAAGGUUACUAAGCUACUGCUGUAUUCAGCAGGGUGCUCAAUGGCAGCGGGAGUAGAACAUGGGUUCAGAAUUCACGGGUGCCAGGGGACAGAGCGUCCUGGAGAUAGAUUCCCCCCACCUGUUGACGUACGACAGCGAGGCGCAUUUCUGAGCUACACGAGUGACAAAGAAGUGACAAAUACCCAUCUUAGAGCUCGUGCCUUUCAAAAAAAUCAGCAUCAGCUCCAUCACUGCAGUGCAAUCCCACAUCCAUAACUCCUGCUACUCUCAGAACAGCAACUUACAAUCUGACUGCUGUGCAGAAGUAGCUUAAAAGGAAGCAGAGAAGUAAUAUUCAGUGCUGCCUGAUGCAAAGAGUACCACAGGG
rnacentral:lncRNA from 1 species